rnacentral:rRNA from 1 species
AGAGUUUGAUCAUGGCUCAGGACGAACGCUGGCGGCGUGCCUAACACAUGUAAGUCGAACGGGACUGGGGGGGCAACUCUCCAGUUCAGUGGCAGACGGGUGCGUAACACGUGAGAAACUUGUCCAUCGGUGGGGGAUAGCCGGCCCAACGGCCGGUUAAUACCGCGUACGAUCAUUUAGGGGCAUCCCUGGAUGAUGAAAGCCUUCGGGCGCCGGCGGAGAGUCUCGCGGCCUAUCAGCUAGUUGGCGGGGUAACGGCCCACCAAGGCGACGACGGGUAGCUGGUCUGAGAGGAUGGCCAGCCACAUUGGGACUGAGACACGGCCCAGACUCCUACGGGAGGCAGCAGUGGGGAAUCUUGCGCAAUGGCCGCAAGGCUGACGCAGCGACGCCGCGUGUGGGAUGACGGCCUUCGGGUUGUAAACCACUGUCGGGAGGAACGAAUACGCGCCUUGAGCGCGGGUGACGGUACCUCCAAAGGAAGCACCGGCUAACUCCGUGCCAGCCGCCGCGGUAAUUC